GAGAGAAGCAGAGAGAAAGAGAGGGAGAAAGACACUCUCUAGAGAUCUCCUCGCAAGAGUAGGAUUAAGAAAUGCAAAGGCUCUGCUAAUAAAAAGUGAGGUGAUUUACUGUUCAGUGCGGUGAAGUCAUCUAAUCUGUCCAGGACAGGUAGUACUGUCAUGUCACAUGAUGCUGUCACAGAGCACAGAGGAGUCACUCUGAAAUUUGACUGUGGCCCUGCCGGCAUAGAAUCUAGCCUCCCAGCCCAGCUCUUUCAAGGCAGCCUGUGUCUCCUGCCCGGAGAUUACGGUCUUUCUGAGGGAGGAUUUCUAAACUGACUUUAGCAGAAGGGACCUUUAAAACAUUUGAAACUUCCAGAUGAAGAGCUCCAUAAACAAAAAGAGAAGACAGAGGGACCUGUAGGGAGAUGUAAGAAAUGAACAGACACAGAUUAAAAGACUGCAGCCUGGAGGAGGCUCAUGGAAAAAACAUACACAGAUGCAUGAAUGAGACAGAAAAGUGCAGCAAAACCACGCAGAAAAAUGAACUGAAAUGGAAACUUAUAAUUCGGAAACAUAGGGUCAUAAGCAAUCAGAAGCAUGAGUCUAAGCGUUUUUAGCCCUAAUAAUACUUUAUUUUUUUAUCCAACUAGCAGAAUAAAUUCCUGCCUAAAUAAAAUUAUUCAGCAAAAUGUAGCUUGGGGGUAAAUUUUCAUUUGCUUGAAUUUCAUACCAAUAAAAAAUCUGCACUGUCUGCA